rnacentral:rRNA from 1 species
CAAUAGCGUAUAUUAAAGUUGUUGCAGUUAAAAAGCUCGUAGUUGGAUUUCUGGUGGGAGCGAUCGGUCUGGCGCUUAGCGCGAGUACUUGCAUCGUCUCCGGCCAUCCUUGGGGAGAGUCUGUCUGGCAUUAAGUUGUCGGGCAGAGGAUCCUCAUCGUUUACUGUGAAAAAAUUAGAGUGUUCAAAGCAGGCUUAUGCCGUUGAAUAUAUUAGCAUGGUAUAAUAAGAUAGGACUUUGGUACUAUUUUGUUGGUUUGCGCACCAAAGUAAUGAUUAAUAGGGACAGUUGGGGGUAUUCGUAUUCCGUUGUCAGAGGUGAAAUUCUUGGAUUUACGGAAGACGAACUACUGCGAAAGCAUUUACCAAGGAUGUUUUCAUUAA